GGGGGUAGCAGGGACGCGGGGCGUGAGGUGACGUGGGGCGCGAGGCGGGGGCGUGAGGUGGCGGUGGGGGCGGCAGUGACGCAGGCGUGGGUGGCAGGGCGAGCGGCCCGGUGGCCCGUGUCGCGAGGCAGGGGCAGGCUGGCGGCCGGGCGGGCGCGCGUCUUCCGUGUGCCUGGGUCCCGGCUCUGCCGCCGGCUGCGGGGUGCCGGGCAGAGGCCAGGCCCCGAUGCCCCCGCGCGCCGUGCGCGCACGCAGUCCCCGGGUCGGAGGAGGGAGGCCAGGAGGCCGCUGGGCGCGGGAGCCCCGGGACAGCCGGGGGAGCUGGGGCUCGGUGCUGGCUCUGCCCGCCGCGCUGGGGCCCCCGGCUGCUCCCGAGGCCUCGCUCCCGCGGCCCGCAGCGGGCGCGGCCGGUUCUCCCCUGCGCGCGGGGCCGGUGUGAGGGCGGGACGCGGCGCACGCGCACCACGAGUCCGCCAGGGCCCGCGGACGGGGAGUUCAGAUCCCAGCUGGUGCCUGACCCCCGCCUCCCUCGUUUCCGAAACGCCUUCGUCUUUUCCUGUUCAGAGAACUUUCGAGAGACUUUCCAAGUUCUGCUCCGGAAGAGUGCGGCUCCCCGGGGUGCCAGCUGGCAUCUCCUGCAAUUAUCCUUAAAUUACAGGCGCAAUUUUAAUUUCACAAUAAUUAGAAGGGUCAACUGCAGCUCAAGCCGUCGAAACGAAUGGAAUUUUAAUGGGCAGCUGCUGAGGUUACAGCCGAGAAUAAUAACGCUGCCCGCCGGAGCCGGCCGGGGGAGCAGCGGCCACCUGGGAGGAGGGAAGCUGAGGGCUAGAGCUUAUUGUGUCCUGCGAAAUCUCCCCAAGGCCAUGAAGACAGUCUCCCACAUCCUGCUCCAGCGGCUGUGGUUCCGUUGGGUCUUUGAUCCAUCUCAGAUUCAUCGUUGUGCGUGACAGGAGUUAGAGCAUCGCGUUGUUCCAGCACCAUUUGUUCAAAGUCUGUCCCUUCCACCACUGAAUUUUUCUGGUGCCUUUGUCGAAAAUCAACUCACUGAACAGAGCUGGGUCUGUUGCUAGACUCUGAAUGAUUCCAUUGACGGGUAUGUUUACAUCAUCUAGAUUCCUGCAGCUUCAUAGACAGUCUUGAGGUCAGAUAGUGUAAAUCCUCCAACUUUGUUUUUGUCUAACAUUGUUUUGAUUAUUUCAGAUCUUUUGCAUUUCCGUGCAAAUUUUAAAUCAGCUUGUCAGUUUGUACCCAAAAAGCCUGCUGAAAUUUUGAUUGAGAUGGCAUUGAUCUAUAGAUCAACUUGAAAAGAAUUGACAUGUUAUCAAUCAAUAUUGAAUCUUGCCACUUAUGAACAUGGUCUCUCCUUGGAGAAGCUAGAACCUCCAGUAUAAUGUGGAAAAGAAGCUAUGAGAGCAGCAUUUCCUUAUUCCUGAUCUUAGGGGAAGAUACUCAGUCUUUCACCAAUGACUUCUUAAUAUGGAGGCCUGGCCUGGAUCGUUCGUUUCAAACCAUCUUUUCUAGUAUAAGCAUUUUAAAUUAUAAAUUUAUCUCUAGAAGAAGUUAAGCUAUAUACCACAGUUUUUGACAUACUGUAUUUUCAUUACUAUUCAGUUAAAAAUAUUUUUCUAAUUUCCCUUGUGAUUUGAAAUUGCUUAUGAUUCCCUUAUGAUUAGAAGUGUGCUAGUUAAUUGUUAAAAGUUGAGUGCUUUUCUAGAUAUUGUUAUUGAUUUCUGUUGUCAGAGAACUUACACUGUAUGACUUCAAUCCUUUAAAAUAAUAUUUAUUUCACAGCCCAGCAUAUGUUCUCUCUUGGUAAAUGUUCUGUAUGCACUUAAAAAGAAUCUGUAUUCUGUAGCUGAUGAGUGUAGUCUUUUAUUCAUGUUUAUUAGGUUAGAUUGUUUGAUGGUGUUCAAAUCUUUUAAUCUUUUAUAUGAUUACUGAUUAUUUUGUCUUGUUUUCUCAUCAAUUCAUGAUAGAAAAAUGUUAAAAUAUUCAACUAUAAGUGUGGUUUUGUCUAUUAUUAUUUGUCUCCUUUUAAUUCUCACAGUUUUUGCUUCAAAUAUUUCAAGAUUUAGCCACUCCAGCUUUCUUAUUUUUCCACAUUAUUUCUUUUUGUGUCCUUUAAUGUUCAGUGUAAAUGUGUUUUUAUAUUUAAAGUGUGUCUCUGUUAAACAGACUAUAGUAGGUUUUGUUUUAUUUUAAGCCCAGUCUGACAUGGUCUGCUUUUUUUUUUUGAGGAAGAUUAGCCCUGAGCUAACUGCUGCUAAUCCUUAUCUUUUCACUGAGGAAGACUGGUCCUGAGCUAACAUCCAUGCCCAUCUUCCUCCACCCUAUAUGUGGGACGCCUACCACAGCAUGGCAUGCCAAGCAGUGCCAUGUCCACACCUGGGAUCUAAACCGGUGAACCCCGGGCCCCCGAAGCGGAACAUGAGAACCCAACUGCUGCGCCACCGGGCCAGCCGCUGCUCUGCCUUUUAAUUGGAAUGUUUAGCCCAUUUAUAGUUGAUGUAAUUAUUGAUGUAAUUAGGUUCAAGUUUACCUAUAAUCUUGCUAAUUGUUUUCUUUUUGUCCUAUUUGCUCUUUUGUUCCUCCUUUGUUGCCUUCUUUUUGAUUAACUGAUCUAAAAUUUUUAAAUGUUAUCUCCUCCAUUGGGUUUUUAGCUACAAUAUUCUUUGUACUGUUUUUUUAGAGGUUGCUCCAGGGAUUCCAGUAUGUAUCCUUAACUUACCUCAAUCUCUUUUGAAAUAUUAUACUACUUCAUGUAGAAUGUAAAGACUUUUCAAUAUAUAAUUCCAUUUCCUUCCCGUCUUUUGUGCUAUUGUUCAUAUAAUUUAUAUGUAUUUCUGUUAUAAACCUCAUAAUACAUUGUUGUUAUAUUUACUUUAAAUGUUCAAUUAUUCUUAAAGUAAUGAGGAAAAAGGAAAUGUAGUCUUUCAUAUUUACCUGCACAUUAACCAUUUCUAGUGCUCUUCAUUCCUUUGUAUAGGUCCAAGUUUCCAUCUCGCAUCAUUUCCUUUCAGCCUAAAGAACUUCUUUUAGCGUUUCUUGCAGCAUGAGUAUGCUAGCAGUGAAUUCACUCAGCUUUUGUGUAUCUGAAAAUGCCUUUAUUCUGCUUUCAUUUUUCAAGGAUAUUUUCACUGAAUGUAGACUUCUCAGUUGACGGUUUUUCCUCCCAGUCCUUUAAAGAUGUUUCUCUUUUGUUUUGGGGGCUUCCAUCAUUUCUGAUGAGAACUCUAACAUUUUUAUUAUUGUACUAGUGGAUGUAAUGUAUCUUUUUUUCUCUCAAUUCUUCUAAGAUUUCAGUUUUUAUUUUCAACAAUUUGUGUCUAGGUGUGUUUUCCUUGUAUGUAUCCCGCUUGGGGUUUGUUGAGUUUUUGGAUCUAUGGAUUGAUUUUUUAAAAAGUCAAAUUUGAGAAAAUUUUGACCACUAGUUCUUCAAAUAUGUUUUCCCAUUUUAUCUUUUUUGGGACUCCAGUUACACAUAUGUCACAUCACUUGAUAUUAUCCCACAGGUCACAAGCAAACACUCUUUUCAUUUUAUUCAAUCUUUUUUGCCUCCCCAUGAUUUAGUUUGGAUUAUUCACAUUUUCCUGUCUUCAGGUUCACUGAAAUUUUCUUUUGCAGUGUCCAGAAGCCUAGCCAAUACAUUUUUAUUUCACAUAUUAUGAUAUUGUAGUCUUCAGUUCUUGAAUUUCCUUUGAGAUUUUAGAAUUUUCAUUUCUCUUCCAAAAUAUCCAAUCUCUUUAUAUAUUAUAUCUCUUUUUAUCUGAAAAUUCUUCUACAUAAUCAUAAUAUUUUGUUACAUUGUAUGUCUGCUAAUUUCAAUUACUGGAUUAUCUGGGGUCUACAUCUUUUGGUUGUAUUUUCUCUUCAUUAUAGGUCAACGUUGUCUCCUUCACAUUCUUGUAAUUUUUUAUUUCAUUCCAAACAUUGUGUGUAAAUGAACAGUGGAGACUGAUAUAUAAUAUUUUGUUUUGAUUUUGUUCUGCUGAUUUCCCACAGAAUGUAAACUGUUUCCUCAGUUUGGGUGAGGGGCUCACCAUUCAGAUUCCCCCGAGUCAAGUUAACUGUGGGUCUGGAGCACAGCUUUAAUUGUGCUGAGUUCACCUGUGUUCAGCAGAACGCUCCACCUUCCUCUCACGGUAGCGUUUUUGAUCUUGUCUGUGUUUGAAGUAGGAGGAUAAGAACAGUUUCAGAUAUGUUGAGCUCACCUUAGAUUUAACUCGGGCAGAGCCCUGGAACCCCAGCACUGUGAGAAUGUGGAGGACCAGGUGAUUGUGCUGCGCUUUCCAGCCUCUCCUCACGCUUCCUUUGCCAAGUCUGCGUCUGAAUGGGAGAGGGUAGACUUGCUGGGGCUGAGUUACUUGUCAUCUAAGACUGGGCUGGUUUCUCUUCAUUCCUGCUCCUCCAUCUGCUAAUAUGUGGAUCAGACUCCUGUUCUAGACAUGGAUGUUGCCACCACUCUCUGUUCUCUAUGAAGAGCUUGUCUUAGGAAUUCAGUUCAUAAAAGUUUCUUUGUAUCUACUGGUCUACUAACCCCAUAGAAAAGUACGAUUAUUUUUUUUCUUGGUUUAUCUCAUUGCUACCAUGGGAGUGAGAGUCUUGCAUCCUGCUACACCCUAGGCGGAGGAAGAUGUCCCAUUUUCUCUCCUUCAUUAUGCUCCACAUUGAAAGUGCUCAGGCCAAGGCAAAAGACAAAUUAACGAGUCUGUUAAGUCUUUCCUCUCAGGUGGAGUGAAUGCCACAGGUUUCACAUAAUAGAAUACUGUUUCCCAAUAAUACUGAUGCUCAUUUGUCUUGCUUUUCCUCAUAUUUUUAUUUGUGAUUGUUUCCAGAGGUGGUCAGAAAUUAGCAGAGCAUUUACUAGAGUUUCACACAGCAGCUGCACAGCAUCCUGCAAUACUGAGCAUGCCUGUUACUCUUACAUUUACGUACAUGUUGGGCUAGACCAGAGAAGUGGCUACCUCUACUGCACAUUGGCAACAGAUGGACAUUGAACAUUGAAGUGGGAAUUGUUUUAUUUAAUAAGAUUUAAUUAAAUUUUGAAAAAUCAAAUAAAACAAUUUUACUUUCAUUUAAAUACUUUAAAAGAUUGUCAAGGGAAGGCUGUGAUAAUGGUGCUAUCGGGAUGUAUAAAGGAAAAGGUAAACAAGCCAAAAUUUUGGCCAGAAACCCGGAAGCUUUCCUGUGCCAACUAUGGCACAGAGUCGGAAUUUGUUAUUGGGAGACGUGGCUUAGAGGAUGCCAGCAGUGAUGACGUGCUUCGGAGUAGUUCAAAGAUGAUAUUUGAUAGUUCCUGCAUCUGCCCAAAGAUGGAACAUCUUGAUGAAACAUGGAUCAUAUUUGACACAUAAUCACCCUCAGAAACACAAAAAGAAUGUCAACUAAAUGCUGUUAAAGCAAUUAGAUUUAAUUUAUACAAGAUUCAAGCUGCUUUGGAAGAGUUAAGUGAAACAGCAGAGUAUCCUCAGAUAAAGAGGAAUUGUGAUCUUUAGAGGAAAAUGGAACUGGCUCUGUUCCAGUCGUUUGCUACGUUGAUCACUAUUGAAAACAUUAGGAAAAGCUUACAAAAAAGAAAAACAGGUUGACUAUUUCAUGCUUAAAAAUUACAAACUUUUUUAAUUGGAGAGAAAAUAGCUUUUCUCCAUGGAAAAAAACUGCAUGUGAAAUAAGCAACAAAAAUAGCAUUCUAGUAAAAUGUAAGGAAACCAGAGGAAGGAAAUGAAAAUAUUUGCAUGGUGGUGAAAGAGAUGAUUCACGUAAAGUAAUCUUAAUUCUAUCGAGAUUAUUUUCUGUCAUUUUAGAUUUAAGACAAUCUCAACUGGAGAGAUUUGAAUAAACAGUAAUAUUUUGGUAUUUUUGAAAUAGCACUGACAAAUUUUAAAUAACUUUAGAAAUACUGCAUGAAUCUAGAUAUAGUUUUAAGAGUUGUUGAAAAUCUUGCUAUGUUAUAGUGAUUUAUAUGAUGAAAUUAAAAGUAGUUUGUAAUAUUUUCUGUGAUAACAAUAAUGUUUCAUAACAAUAUUUGAACCUGAUCCAUAAAAUUUGUGGUUCUUUUCCAACUGUAAAUAUUUGCUUUAAGAAUUUUGGGGGGGGCCGGCCUGGUGGCGCAGCGGUUAAGUUCGCACGUUCCGCUUCUCAGCGGCCCGGGGUUCGCUGGUUUGGAUCCCGAGUGCAGACGUGGCCCCACUUGUCAAGCCAUGCUGUGGUAGGCGUCCCAUAUAUAAAGUAGAGGAAGAUGGGCACAGAUGUGAGCUCAGGGCCAGUCUUCCUCAGCAAAAAGAGGAGGACUGGCAGUAGUUAGUUCAGGCUAAUCUUCCUCAAAAAAAAAAUUUUUUUGACAGUUACGAUUGCUUCUGCCUCAGUAGAGAAAAGUUUCUCCAAGUUGAAAAUAUAACACAAUUAUGUGGAAAUCUGGAUUAUAGCAACAUAGUUAGAGAUUUUGCUGAAAUGAAUGCAGGAAAAGUUAGUUUUUGGAAUAAAUAGCAUAA
rnacentral:lncRNA from 1 species